rnacentral:pre_miRNA from 1 species
CAUGUACUCCCUCCGUUUGGAAUUACUUGUCGCGGAAAUGGAUGUAUCUAGACGUAUUUUAGUUCUAGAUACAUCCAUUUCUGAGACAAGUAAUUCCGAACGGAGGGAGUACAUC